rnacentral:rRNA from 1 species
CGUAGGUGGCAAGCGUUAUCCGGAUUUAUUGGGCGUAAAGCGAGCGCAGGCGGUCAUUUAAGUCCGAUGUGAAAGCCUUCGGCUUAACCGAAGAAGUGCAUAGGAAACUGGAUGACUUGAGUACAGAAGAGGACAGUAGAACUCCAUGAGUAGCGGUGAAAUGCGUAGAUUUAUGGAAGAAUACCAGUGGCGAAAGCGGCUGUCUGGUCUGUCACUGACGCUGAGACUCGAAAGCAUGGGUAGCAAACAGG